GCGGAGCUGCGGGAGCUGCUGAGGAAGGAGUCUGUGACAGACAGCUGAGGCUGAGGUACUUGGGCUGAGGUGAAGGAAGAUCUAUAAUGAAGCAAAUGUAAAAGUAGAAUUCACCAGGUCUUUGCUUAAUCACCAGUUCCUGAUGACUCAUUGAAGGCCCAUGGCUUUUUGUCUGUGGCUCAAGAGAAUCACACUGUGUGCUACCUGCAUUCUUUAUGCGCAGACCCAGAGCAUAGUUUAUCUCUUUUCAUAACUUCAGAUGAGCAGAGGAUCCUGGCAAGAAAAUGAGACAUGAGGGGAAUCUCCUUGGUAACCGUAUCUGCCAACUACUUCAAGUUCGGGACUUAUGUGGCAAAGAAAACCAGAAAUCAAAAAGAACAAAUAUUGACUGAGUCAGUGCAUGCCAAGUGUUUACUUUUAACACUAAUGAAGAACAAAUACAGUUUAGAAAGAGGAGCAUCUAUGGAAGCAACCAUGAUACUUUUGCUAAAAUUGAUUACUCUGAGACAUUCUUCGCUGAUGCUUUCAUUAAUAAUCAUUUUAUUGUUCUCUGCUAAGUUAAAGUCAUCUUUCCAAUUUAAUAUGGUAAAAUAAUUAGGUACUCAUUUCUUCCUCUUACCAAUUGUGGUGCUAGCCAUUCUAUUUUUCAGCAUCCUUGUUAAUAAAUGAAGAUAGCC
rnacentral:lncRNA from 1 species